GAUGAAGAACGUAGCGAAAUGCGAUACUUGGUGUGAAUUGCAGAAUCCCGUGAACCAUCGAGUCUUUGAACGCAAGUUGCGCCCGAAGCCAUCAGGUUAAGGGCACGUCUGCCUGGGCGUCACAUAUCGUUGCUCGAUGCCUAUCGCAUUGCGAUAGGACUUAGGGCGAAUGAUGGCUUCCCGUGAGCGUUGUUGCCUCGCGGUUGGUUGAAAAUCGAGUCCUUGGUAGGGUGUGCCAUGAUAGAUGGUGGUCGAGUUAGCACGAGUCCGAUCAUGUGCAUGCUCCCCAAAAUAUGGCCUCUGUGACCCACACGCGUCUUUUGACGCUCAUGACGAGACCUCAGGUCAGGCGGGGCUACCCGCUGAAUUUAAGCAUAUCAAUAAGCGGAGGA
rnacentral:misc_RNA from 1 species